UCAGUUACAAUCUAGCAUCUGGGGCUUACAAACGGGUAUCUGAUUGCUCUAUCUAAUGCCUCGGGAAGGUCUGAGAGUUGGUCAAAGUUCGCUUCAAACGUGUCCCGUAUUGUUUCUUAGGCGUGUGAACUUAAACUAAUCAAUUUCCUAGCAGGAAACUUGUAUAAUUAAGAGGCAAAAGAACAAGAAAUUCUGCACUCAAUUUUAUGGCGCGUGCAUUGGAAACUUUUGUGACCAGCGAUUUUAGUGCGAUAUGCUUGCUACUCAAAAAUAUAUUCUUUUGCUUGCCUCCUUGGUGAUGAUAAGGAAGAUAUUGGCGAGUAGAACUCAAUUCAGACUAAUCUGUGACCGA
rnacentral:RNase_P_RNA from 1 species